rnacentral:tRNA from 1 species
GGGGCUGUAGCUCAGUGGCAGAGCACUUGCCUAGCUAGCAUGAGGCACUGGGUUUGAUUCUUAGCACCA